rnacentral:rRNA from 1 species
CCUACGGGUGGCUGCAGUGAGGAAUAUUGGUCAAUGGGAGAGAUCCUGAACCAGCCAAGCCGCGUGAGGGAAGACGGCCCUAUGGGUUGUAAACCUCUUUUGUCGGAGAACAGAACCCGGGACGUGUCCCGGACUGCGUGUAGCCGAAGAAAAAGCAUCGGCUAACUCCGUGCCAGCAGCCGCGGUAAUACGGAGGAGCCGAGCGUUAUCCGGAUUUAGUGGGUUUAAAGGGAGCGUAGGUGGAUUGUUAAGUCAGUUGUGAAAGUUUGCGGCUCAACCGUAAAAUUGCAGUUGAAACUGGCAGUCUUGCGUACAGUAGAGGUGGGCCGCAUUCGUGGUGUCGCGGUUACAUGCUU